GGCGGUGUAGCCAAGUGGUAAGGCAGCGUCCCGUCAAGGCGCAAUACGUGGGUUCGAUUCCCUCCACCGCCU
rnacentral:tRNA from 1 species